CUCCCCUCAUGUCUUUUAUUUAAUCCCUGUUCCCCCUUCAGGAGUUCUCCAUGGAUUGAUCUGCAGGCCGGAUCAAGUGGCGCUCAGUGUGGGGGCUCCUGGCACGGAGGAGUUAAUGAGGGAGCUGUUUGAGAGACAGACAGCUUAAACUGAAAGUGAAAGCAAAUUGAACCAAAGACCGCGGCAAGGAGUGAGCAAACUGAAUCAAGGAUUAAACCUUAAAGCAACAGGACAUUAAAUUAUGUACUGAGGCCUGUGCAGACGACUACCCAACAUCCUGCCUGAGUCACGGUGACACAACUCCCUGGAGUCUUAUGCUGCCUAGUCAGCCUUCUUCUUGAGCCAUACCACACCCAUGGUGGAUUUCGACCCCUGCCAAACAGACUACAACUGCUGACAGCCAUGCAUAGAACCCCGUGACUGUGGAAGAGGCUCUUCUUGGUCUGGAGGAACAUACACCAGCCAAAUAGCCUGUGUCCAAUGUUAUGCAAGGCAUGCUCCAAGACAUAGGAGAAUGACUUCAACAGAGACACUGACAAAUGGCUGUCAACCCCUUCUCCUCGAUAUGAGUGUGGGGGGGGAGUUUUUCCCUUACCUAGUGCCACUUUUGGGUCCCCUAGCUGCCCUAUUGCUUCUCCUUUCUGUGAGUCCUUGUAUUUUUCAGAGUCCUUGUAUUUUAUGAUGCUCAUUAAUAACUGGAUAGAUGCAUUUAUGGCAAAGCCCAUUCAGGUACACUAUCGUCAGCUGGAGAUGGCAGAUCAACAAACUUACCAGGAAGGAUUUCCCACGAGUGGCCCAUAUGACAAUGUGGCCUAACUGCCCUGGGGCAAUGGACAGGCAGUCAGAGAUGGGCAACUAGGACAUGCAUGUUAAUUCCAAUGGCCACCUAAGACAGGCACAGGACCAACUGUUGUUCUGCAAGCCCAUGACAGAUGUGCAAUUCCAAGAUAAUGCUUAUCUGCAGGACGGGAGUAACUUGAAAGGCACCAAAGGCUCCCAAGGUUGUCAGAACUAAGUGGACAGCUUUACAGUUUCCAGAUUUGGGUCAACAGUUUAAUGGCUCUGCGGAUUUCUUUUGUCCCCCCACCUCCUGCUUUUUAAAUCCCCUUCUCCAAUCUCUGGCGUGCAGUCUCCAAAUUGGCUCCUGGAGACUUGUCGCCAGGCCUGGCCUAAAUAAAGCCUUUGCUCCCCAAA